CUUGUGGUCAAUGGCAAGGCAGCCCUGUCCUUGAGCCACAGACCAGGAUGAGGUGGCCUGGGCUUGCUGAAGGGACUGUGGGGACAGGAAGACACCAUUGCACCAGAGGAAGUGGCAUCAGCCUCCUUGACUUGGAGAGCUCAGAGCAACUUCCCUUCUCUCCUCAGCCUCUUCCCUCAUCCUAGUGGCCUCUACCAUGCUUCCCCGGGGCCUCUCUGCUUCUGCUUUCCCCAGCCUCCUCAGAGGCUGCACCUGUCCCUGGGCCCCCCACCUGAUGGGGCUGUCUACACCCAUUGCCUCAUUCCCAGCUUCACUGCUAUCUCCAGUGUACCCACGGGGACACUGGGGAAAGAAGCUUUGGGCUGAAUGGAUCCCAGUUGGGCAGAGGAGAGGCCCCGCUGGCGAGAGGGGCCUGCCCUACCCAAGCUGACCUGGGGGUUCUGUUUUGGACUCGCCCCACUGGCUGUGAGCUAUCCGAUGGUCACUUGAUGGCUGUGUCUCCCAAGCAAGGCCUGGACCCCAACCAGGGGUGGCGGGAGCUGCUGCUGGUGGCACAGAACUUUCCCAGAACGGCUUCUGGGCAACUUCACGGGACCCAUCUGCUUCCGGUGCUCAGGCCCUGCUGCUGUUACUGCGAGGUCUGCUUAGACCCCGUCACAGUGUCACCCUAGCACCCUGGACCAGUGCCAUCCCCGGGGCCUCUGCUCCUGUCUUCCCCCAGCGGAACGACAAGGCUCGCAGCCCACAGAGGGGGCUUGGGGAUGGGAGGGCCUGCAGCUUGGGGGUCCAAGGAUGGGCAGGGACUAAAUGCAGCCCUUUAGCCUGACAGGUGGCCACUGGGAGAAGCCAGAUUCAGUGCGCCCAGGGCAGGGCCAGGGAGGGGGCCAGGCCCUGGUCACACUUGAGAACCACUGCUUUAGAUCUCCCCGGAUCUCCUGGGCUACCGUUCUCCCCUCCUCCCUGGCCACAGCCAUCCCUGCAUAGGCCCCAGCCCUUUAAGCACCCGCUCUCUUCACCCAAGGGGCUUCGUCGGAUUCCCUGCUGGUCCUGCGUUCAUCAGGCCCACGGUGAAUCGUGUUUUCUCAUUUCCCGCGUUCCUGGUGUUCUGGCAUCUGGGCCUUGAUGAUUGGAAAGACCACCCCUCCACAGUCGGGCCAAUCUUAAAGCUUAACAAUCAGUCUUCAGCUUCUACCAGGGAGCCUGCUGGCGUUAUGACUAAGAAUGUGUGACACCUGUGGAUCCCGCUGGGGGACCUGGCCACUCCACACAGAGCCUUGGAUGCUGCUGCCAGUGUCUGAGUCUGUUAUGAGUAGCAUACCUUACUUUGCUUUGCUGUAUUUUACUACAUGGAACUUUACUAUAUGGAAUAUCAUAUGAAUAUUGCUGUGUUAUGUGUGAUGUGCAAAAACCCGAUGAUGUAACCCUAAAAGGUGUAACCAGUGAGAGACCCCCAUCCACCUUGUCCAGCCACGACAGACACAAGAAGAACUGUAAGAAGACCGGCCAGAGAGCAGGAGUCGGGACGGUGGAGAGCUGAGGUCACCAGAGGUCACCAGAGAGCUGAAAUCCAGGGCAGGCUGAGCCCAGGACAGGAUGAGACCCUGCCAGCCUCUGCUUCUCCCUGCGGUGAAUGGGGUCCCAUCGACUCCCAGUGAAGCCUUAAGACACGUCACACGCCAGGACAACUCUGCUUCCGACUCGAGUCCGUCCACUUCUUUGCUUCCACAUUCUCCCAUCCGAGGCUGGCACACCUCGUCUCCCACCUGGAGUAUGGCAGAGCUUCCUGAUGGUUCUCGAGUCUGCUAGCCCCUCACCCCGUCCCCAACACACACACACACACACACACACACACACACACACACACACACACAGUGUCUUUUUGUCCUUUUGUCAUGUUAAUCUGAAUACUGCUGCUCUGCUUAAAAACCUAGUCAAGGUGACGCUGUGCCUGUAGGAGACCCCAGAUUCCAGAUCCCCUCCCUGGGCUGCCAGGGCUCCCCAUGGGCUUCCUGCUCCCUCUCCUUUACUCGCCUUCCGCGCACGCUGGCUUCCUGGGACCCUGAGCCUUUGCAGUCCCACCUGCUUCAAGGCGCCCGUCAUUCCUCCCCAGUGCAUCUUGGCCUUUUCCUUUUGACAUUUCCAAGGCCGUUUGCUCCUUGACAUUCCCCCUUGGGGCAUGGAAUACAGGAUACACGGCUUGCUUCCUCCGUCACCCCAGCCCCUGGCACUGUCCCGGUGCCUUGGAGGUAGUAGUCAUUUCUGCGGGAAUGAAAUGAGGAAAUGAAAGAAUGGAAAUGGGGAGGAAGUGGAGAGGGGUCUGGCCGGGCCCCAGGACAGCGUGGAGGGGCCUUGCUCCUUCUCUCUGUGAGCCCCCUGCAAGGUGCCUUGCUGGCCAGUCCUCUGAGGCCAUCGGAUGGUUGGUAGCCUCUUUCUGCCCCCCACCCCUGCCUCCUCCCGCUUGGCUGGCACUCUGGCUGUGGCAGAUGCCCCCUCCUGUUGUUUGGAAACCACAGCUGGACAGCACUGUCUCGAAUGGAAACAGCCAUGCUCCUGGGAGACUGUGGGGCUCUCUCACCCACAUUGUCUGCUGUGAAGGCACCGGAGGCCCUGGCAGCUGCACCUGCUCACGGAGGAGGGCUGGCCCCUGGCCCCUGGGUGGGACAGUUCAAGGGCCAACUCCGUGGAAGAGGGCGCCAGGGCCCACCCCAGGCCCACCAGGGAGACAGUCCUAGAGACCAUGGAGACCUGCUUCAGGCCGAAGCCCCAGGAGUGCCUGCUUCUGCCUAGAAGAGCAGCCAGUGUGUGGGGGCUUGAGUUGGACCAUCCACUGGGGAUCACCAAACCCUCAAUCCCAUCCUCCCAGUCCCUCACUUCCUUCAUGUCGGCAAGGCCCGCAGGCCAGGAGCCUGCCUCCAACCUCCAUGCUGAGCCCCGUCCUCCUCUGGUUCCAACCCGGCUCCUAGCUCCCAGGGGUAGAAAGCACUCUAACCCCUUAACCCCCAAAUAAAAGAACGCCCAACCAAGACCACGUCAGAGGAACCACAUUAUUGACAGUUACUGACAUCACCUGGAGGUUGGGGACAUGUACAAAACAGGAAGUGACCUGGAAUGGGACUUUGUCACUACAUGUACUCACACCUGUGCCCACACAGGCACACACACUGACCACAUCCGCAGCAAGGGGGCCCUGGCUGGGGUUCGUGAGACACUUGUUGUAGAGCUGAGAAUAAAACAAGAUGUAGAAAGAGCAGAUGCCUGGGACACAGACACUCAACAGAAGGGUCCUGGAGGCCUGGGGAGGGAGGCCGAGGGGGCCUGGAAACUCUCACAUCAAACCUCCAAGUGCCGCCCCAUGACCCUGGGCCCCAGAGAGUCAGGGGAAGGGCCGAGGUUGGGGCCAGUGCAGGGAGGCCUCGCUCCUGCCCCAGCAUAGAGUCCAUUCUCAACAGAGAUGAAACUGCUGCGUGGAGUGGCCAGCCGGGACACCCGGGUGGCAGGCACCUGGGGUGGGCAUGCAGUGUGGAUAGGGGGCAGUGCCCACCGAGACGGUUGCUGGUGGGGGUGCCCCGUGUCCGGAGCUGCCAGGUGGAAGGUGGCAGGGGUGUAGGGGAGGUGGGGGUCCUCCAGGGCGACUUGGCUGGUGGCCUGUGGAGGAGGGAGAAGGGCCGGUAGGCUUCCAUCUCCAGGCCUGGUUCCAGCCCUCCUCCCAGGUCUCACCCGAGCGUCCUCCAGGUCUCACCUGAGCUCUCCUCUGUGCCCGGGAGCUGGGGAGGGGUGGCCGAAGCUGAGCGACAGACCUGGGAGAGAGAGCGAGGGGUCAGAGGCAGAGUGUCACUAGCCCAGUGGUGCAGGGACACGGGGACUGGCUCUCACCGAUGCCUCUGCCGACGUACGAGGUGUAGGAGGAAGAUGCAGCCACACAGGAGGACCCCGGAGGCCCCAAAGAUCCCG